CCACAUUCCUGCUGUCAUGAGGACUGUACUUAGUCACCAUAUGUGCUAUCAUGAGUAAAGUACUUCCUUGUUCUGCUCCUAUUCACUUAUUCAACCCAUUGAGCAAACCAAUGUGAGAGGCUGCACAUCAGUAUUCAAGACGCAACACGAGGAGCUGCGGGAAGGAGCCUGUUGCAGCAAGGAGCGGGGACAGGGAGUGCUUUCCCAGGGGCGAUUCCUGUGUGCCCUGCCCCAGCCCCUGCCCUCUGGGGUCACUGGCUGAGAUGACCAGGCACGCAGUGCUGGAGCAGGGCACCUUCGAGGAGAACCGAAACAGUCUGAGAAGAGCAAAGACAUAGUUUUUGUCCCCUGCAAGAGGAAACGAUGGAACAAUUGAGACAACAUCAGCACGUUGGAGUUGGGAAAUGUAUAAUAAAAACAUCUCUGGGAAAAGCUCUGCAUUUUUGUCUGGGUAUUUCAAAAGAGCUCAAUAACACAUCUAGAUAUGCAAAGAAAAAUGUUUUUUAAAUUAUUUUUUAAUAAUUAAAAAGACACAGAUUUAUUUGUU